rnacentral:rRNA from 1 species
UCGCUAGUAAUCGCGGAUCAGCAUGCCGCGGUGAAUACGUUCCCGGGCCUUGUACACACCGCCCGUCACACCACGAGAGUUGGCAACACCCGAAGUCGGUGAGGUAACCUUUUUGGAGCCAGCCGCCGAAGGUGGGGCCAAUGAUUGGGGUGAAGUCGCAACAAGGUAGCCGUAUCGGAAGGUGCGGCUGG